rnacentral:lncRNA from 10 species
CUGUGAGCUGGGCAGGUUGGCCAGGGAAUAAGGAGGAGGAGACUGCUUACUUAGCAUCAGUCAAGGUUGAGGGGCCAUGGGCCAAGGGCUCACAUAAGACCUCCUCCAUCAGGCUCUUCUGAGGAUCAAUGGAACUAUGACGGCAUGUUCAGCACCCUGCCCCAAGGACAAACUCUCUCCUUACUUGCCUCAUUCUGCUCUGAGUCAGAGGAAUGGCCCAAAUGACCUUGGAGCUCUGUGGCGUCAUCGCUUCUUGCAGCCUUCCCUGGAGAGCUGACUCUCAAGCGAGCAUACCCAGCUGGAAGGCGGAAAGAAUUUUAAGCACAAGGAGCCGAGGCCUGCACUUGAGCAAAUGUCUUCUUCAGCCUACAUUUUCUUCCGAACACCCCAAGC